ensembl:misc_RNA Metazoa_SRP Metazoan signal recognition particle RNA
GCCAGGCAUGGUGGCACAUGCCUAUCUUCCCAGCUACUCGGGAGGCUGAUGGAAGGAUCACUUGAGCCCAAGAACUCUGGACUGUAGUGUGCUAUGCCAGUCAGGUAUCUGUACUAAGUUCUGCAUCAGUAUGAUGACCUUCCGGGAACAGGGACUACGAGGUUGCCUAAGGAGAGGUGAACUGGCCCAGGUCAGAAAUGGAGCAGGUCAAAACACCUAUGCCGAUCAGUAGUGUGAUCAUGCCUAUGAAUAGCCACUGUACUCCAGAUUGGGCAACAUAGUGAUACUCCAUCUCUU